CGGCGGACGGGUGAGUAAUGUCUGGGAAACUGCCUGAUGGAGGGGGAUAACUACUGGAAACGGUAGCUAAUACCGCAUAACGUCGCAAGACCAAAGAGGGGGACCUUCGGGCCUCUUGCCAUCAGAUGUGCCCAGAUGGGAUUAGCUAGUAGGUGGGGUAACGGCUCACCUAGGCGACGAUCCCUAGCUGGUCUGAGAGGAUGACCAGCCACACUGGAACUGAGACACGGUCCAAACUCCUACGGGAGGCAGCAUG
rnacentral:rRNA from 1 species